GUUGCGAUGUAAUUGCAUCACGGCCAAAUGGUUUCUCUAUAAUCACUCUGGUCCAUCCUCUUUACGAAAAAGGAAACAAAAAUAUGUAUGACGACAAUGUUUAAUAUGUAAUUAGGAAGUGUACAACUUACUUGUUACCCAUACAAACGUUCCUAAUAUGUACGGUUACGCUUUC